rnacentral:rRNA from 1 species
GUCUGCGACCAUCCAACGGUGAAUAUGCAGCAGCCCGUCUGAUCUGCAAAGUCGAGCACCGUUGGGCUGGGGUAGCACUUGGAACGGAGGCGGACCGGGAAUUUUCAGUGGGGAAGGCG